CGAUGCAACGCGAAGAACCUUACCUGGUCUUGACAUCCCGGAGACCCUUAGGAAACUAGGGGGUGCUUCCAUCUGGAAGAAUCUGGAGACAGGUGCUGCAUGGCUGUCGUCAGCUCGUGUCGUGAGAUGGUUGGGUUAACGUCCCGCAACGAGCGCAACCCUUGCCUUUAGUUGCCAGCAGUUCGGCUGGGCACUCUAAAGGGACUGCCGGUGUUAAACCGGAGGAAGGUGGGGAUGACGUCAAGUCCUCAUGGCCUUUAUGACCAGGGCUACACACGUACUACAAUGGCCGAUACAAAGGGCAGCGACACUGCGAGGUGAAGCCAAUCCCGUAAAAUCGGUCUCAGUCCGGAUUGGAGUCUGCAACUCGACUCCAUGAAGUUGGAAUCGCUAGUAAUCGUGGAUCAGCAUGCCACGGUGAAUACGUUCCCGGGCCUU
rnacentral:rRNA from 1 species